GGGUUCAUGGCCUAAUGGUAAGGCGUCAGAUUUCGGUUCUAGUUGCUGUUCUCUGAAGAUUGCAGGUUCGAUCCCUGCUGAGCUCG